GGGAAAAGCUCAAAUUUAAAAUCUGGCAGUCUUUGGCUGUCCGAGUUGUAAUCUAGAGAAGUAUUAUCCGCGCUGGACCGUGUACAAGUCUCCUGGAAUGGGGCGUCAUAGAGGGUGAGAAUCCCGUCUUUGACACGGACUGCCAGGGCUUUGUGAUGUGCUCUCAAAGAGUCGAGUUGUUUGGGAAUGCAGCUCAAAAUGGGUGGUAAAUUCCAUCUAAAGCUAAAUAUUGGCGAGAGACCGAUAGCGAACAAGUACCGUGAGGGAAAGAUGAAAAGAACUUUGGAAAGAGAGUUAAACAGUACGUGAAAUUGCUGAAAGGGAAACGCUUGAAGUCAGUCGCGUUGGCCAGGGAUCAACCUUGCUUUUUUGCUUGGCUUACUUUCUGGUCGAUGGGUCAGCAUCAAUUUUGACUGGUGGAAAAAGUUCAAGGGAAUGUGGCAUCUUCGGAUGUGUUAUAGCCUUUGUUCGCAUACAUUGGUUGGGAUUGAGGAACUCAGCACGCCGCAAGGCCGGGUUUUUAACCACGUACGUGCUUAGGAUGCUGGCAUAAUGGCUUUAAUCGACCCGUCUUGAAACACGGACCAAGGAGUCUAACAUGCCUGCGAGUGUUUGGGUGAAAAACCCGAGCGCGUAAUGAAAGUGAAAGUUGAGAUCCCUGUCGUGGGGAGCAUUGACGCCCGGAUCUGACCUUUUGUGACGAU
rnacentral:rRNA from 1 species